AACAUUGAGCCUUGAUGUGUAGGAUAGGUGGGAGGCUUUGAAGUGUGGACGCCAGUCUGCAUGGAGCCGACCUUGAAAUACCACCCUUUAAUGUUUGAUGUUCUAACGUGGGCCCCUUACCGGGGUUGCGGACAGUGUCUGGUGGGUAGUUUGACUGGGGCGGUCUCCUCCUAAAGAGUAACGGAGGAGCACGAAGGUUGGCUAAUCCUGGUCGGACAUCAGGAGGUUAGUGCAAUGGCAUAAGCCAGCUUGACUGCGAGCGUGACGGCGCGAGCAGGUGCGAAAGCAGGUCAUAGUGAUCCGGUGGUUCUGAAUGGAAGGGCCAUCGCUCAACGGAUAAAAGGUACUCCGGGGAUAACAGGCUGAUACCGCCCAAGAGUUCAUAUCGACGGCGGUGUUUGGCACCUCGAUGUCGGCUCAUCACAUCCUGGGGCUGAAGUAGGUCCCAAGGGUAUGGCUGUUCGCCAUUUAAAGUGGUACGCGAGCUGGGUUUAGAACGUCGUGAGACAGUUCGGUCCCUAUCUGCCGUGGGCGCUGGAGAACUGAGGGGGGCUGCUCCUAGUACGAGAGGACCGGAGUGGACGCAUCACUGGUGUUCGGGUUGUCAUGCCAAUGGCACUGCCCGGUAGCUAAAUGCGGAAGAGAUAAGUGCUGAAAGCAUCUAAGCACGAAACUUGCCCCGAGAUGAGUUCUCCCUGACUCCUUGAGAGUCCUGAAGGAACGUUGAAGACGACGACGUUGAUAGGCCGGGUGUGUAAGCGCAGCGAUGCGUUGAGCUAACCGGUACUAAUGAACCGUGAGGCUUAACCUU
rnacentral:rRNA from 1 species